rnacentral:rRNA from 1 species
CCUACGGGUGGCAGCAGUGAGGAAUAUUGGUCAAUGGACGAGAGUCUGAACCAGCCAAGUAGCGUGAAGGAUGACUGCCCUAUGGGUUGUAAACUUCUUUUAUAUGGGAAUAAAAUGUUCCACGUGUGGCAUUUUGUGUGUACCCUAUGAAUAAGGAUCGGCUAACUCCGUGCCAGCAGCCGCGGUAAUACGGAGGAUCCGAGCGUUAUCCGGAUUUAUUGGGUUUAAAGGGGGCGUAGGUGGAUUGUUAAGUCAGUUGUGAAAGUUUGCGGCUCAACCGUAAAAUCGCAGUUGAAACUGGCAGUCUUGAGUACAGUAGAGGUGGGCGGAAUGCGUGGUGUAGCGGUGAAAUGCUUAGAUAUCACGAAGAACUCCGAUUGCGAAGGCAGCUCACUGGACUGCAACUGACACUGAGGCUCGAAAGUGUGGGUAUCAAACAGGAUUAGAUACCCCAGUAGUC